UAGGGAAUCUUCCGCAAUGGGCGAAAGCCUGACGGAGCAACGCCGCGUGAGUGAUGAAGGUCUUCGGAUCGUAAAACUCUGUUAUUAGGGAAGAACAAAUGUGUAAGUAACUAUGCACGUCUUGACGGUACCUAAUCAGAUAGCCACGGCUAACUACGUGCCAGCAGCCGCGGUAAUACGUAGGUGGCAAGCGUUAUCCGGAAUUAUUUGGCGUAAAGCGCGCGUAGGCGGUUUUUUAAGUCUGAUGUGAAAGCCCACGGCUCAACCGUGGAGGGUCAUUGGAAACUGGAAAACUUGAGUGCAGAAGAGGAAAGUGGAAGUCCAUGUGUAGCGGUGAAAGGCGCAGAGAGAUGGAGGAACACCAGGGGCGAAGGCGACUUUCUGGACUGUAACUGACGAUGAUGUGCGAAAGCGUGGGGAUCAAACAGG
rnacentral:rRNA from 1 species